rnacentral:lncRNA from 1 species
GCCUCACUGUACAGCAAUUGUGUCCUUCAGAGCACAGAGAGAGAGAGCACAUAUUGUCCUAUACAAUGUCACUGAAGAAAAAGUAAUUACAACACUGGACUGACUAAAAAAGCCACAUUUUUAAAUUAAAAAAAAAAAUAAAAAAAUAAAAUCUUUUUUAAAGAUUACUCUGCAUCUUUUUGCUCCCUGAACACUGGUUUGGGGUAAUUACUGGAUAGUAGACUGAAACCACCCAAAAACCCCCACACAGAAUAGAGGAGGAACAGGAAGAAACAGCAUAAGCCAAGAUGAACCGCAAUAGCUUUUGGGGUCCUUUGAUUACAGGGAGUAGAGAGAUCAAGAAGCCAGAAAAUGGCCUGGUAUCAAGAGCCUUCCACGAGCAGAUUUACACAAUAGAUGUCUUUCAGUAUUUUAGAUGAGAGACAGGCAUGGAGAGAUAAUGAGCUUUGUGAUUAAACUUAGCAAGUUCUGCAAAUUUACAUUUCUGAAAUCUCUCAGGAACUUCAGAGCACUUAGGGGAAAAAAAAAAAAAAAAAAAAAAAAAAAAAGAGAGAGAGAGAAAACCAUGAGAAAACCCUUACAUUUUUCUUUAGUUUCUUCCCUACAGGGUCUAGAUUGCACCUCCUUCUCUGUUCCUCACAGCUCCUAGAGGGUCUCCAUUCAGACUUUAGAUUUUUUUUUUCAUUUUGAUUUUGGUUGGCACACUUCUUAAGGACACAUCCAUCAGCUGAAAAGACCCAACCAGAAUGAAAAGAGUGUUGGCAGCCCGAGAAGACAGCAGAGAAGCAACCACCUCACACACGGCAGAGAUGUCUCCCAGAGAUGUCUCCGCAGUGCUGAUCCUCCAAGCCCGAGCCCCUGUUACAAAGACACCAGCUGAGACAGCCAGUUCCCUACCAGUGACAACAGCUGCUUCUGAAGUGCCGCUGCCCCUAUUCGGGCUCUGUCGUGAGGAGCUGGGGACAUGUCUCCACCUGGCCUCCAACCACAGCUGUCCCGCACUUCGCAGGCGUGCCUUUUAACCUCCCAGACCUCACCAACCCACACACCAUGACUUCUGAGAUGGGAACUCUGAAGUAUUUCUGUCGCCUUGGCUGCACGGAUCCCGUUGCACAAAAUGGGUAGCGAUGCAUCGGCUUUGCUGCAGCCAUGCAGAAACCCUGCGCUGCCGACAGGCACCGAGGCACUCAGCAGUUACCACCUGCUGAAGACGAAGUUUCCGUGCAGGAAGUACCAAUUUGUCGAAAGCAAACAUGCUGAAUAAUAUUUAAUGACUUGGUCGCUGUCCACAGAUAGGCAAUAAUCAGUUUGGUAAAUGUUCAGAAGGUCACAGAGGACAUGACAGCAGUCAAAGACAGAUAGUCGAGGCUAGCCAGCUGUCAUUUGAGGGCCUUGUGCCAAGGACUGCAACAGGUAGUGGUGCAGGUUUAUACCACCGUUUCUCCAGAUAUCAUGAAUUUCACUCACAAAUUUAGUUUUUCCUUUACAAAGAGCAUGUGCAGAUUGCAACCACCAAUGCAGCCAUUCCAGGCAAAAGGCAGCAUUGAAAAGAAUGAGACAGCAAUGAGGAGACCCACAGGAUCACAGGGAAGAAGUGCAACCCUCCUCCAGUCUGGUUAAGGGGACAGCAGAUCUGGGUUAGUUUCAAGACUUUUAUCACACAGAAAAAUAAGCUUCCCAAAGGGAGUUUGUGAUACUUACAAAAUAUUUGUGUUAGUACGUGACACCGCAGCCUUUACAGCACUGAAAGAAAGGUGUAAGAAGAAAUCUGAGUGACAGAAGGCCAAACAUAUUGUCAUGGAAAAACUGCAUCAGAAACAGAAAACACACAAAAGUGUCACAGAUUCCCUAGAUUACCAGAGAGUCAAUAUGCUAUGCAGAGACCAACAAUGUCACCACAAACCAUGAGAAGAGAUACUUACACCAGAUCUGCUCUCAGCAAGACAAAAGACAAGAGGUAUUGCCAGAUACUUAUGCAUCAAAACACAGUGCUGGAAUACUUUUAAUUAAAAAGGGUUACUUUAAUUAAAACCAUAAGAUCUAAUAUUACAGAGCCAAAAGCCAAAAAGAGCUUGAAAACAGACUGCCUGAAGUAGCGUUAAAUAUAGCAUGAUUUAAACAGUGCUUCUGGUGUUUAUGGCUAAUGUGGCACGUUUUUCUUUUUGAAAAGGUAUUGCAGUGAUGCUGACAGAAUAGAAAAUUGGAUAUUAGCUUAAAAAUUGAAAGUUGCUAUUCACAUAAAAGCAGCAUACAUAUGGGAAAACACAUGUCUCUGUUUGCAACGGCUGUGUUCCAGUUCCAAGUGAAUGAUCCAAGUGUUUUGCUAAUACGUAACAAUCAAACUAUGUCCUUUUUCUUUCAGACGCCAGUCGUUAAUCAUGCAAACAGUGAAAACUCCACUUGCAUAUCAAAUAAAAUCUUAUUUAGAUAAAAUUUCA